GUCCCUGCCCUUUGUACACACCGCCCGUCGCUACUACCGAUUGAACGGUCGCAUUGAGGUCUUCGGAGUGGACGCGCGUUAUUCGGCCCCCUCGGGGGCUGGGUCGUCGCGCGAUCGCGAAGAUGACCGAAAUCGGCCGUUUAGAGGAAGUAAAAGUCGUAACAAGGUUUCCGUAGGUGAACCUGCGGAAGGAUCAUUA
rnacentral:ncRNA from 1 species